rnacentral:rRNA from 1 species
UCCAGACUCCUACGGGAGGCAGCAGUGGGGGAUAUUGCACAAUGGGGGAAACCCUGAUGCAGCGACGCCGCGUGAGGGAAGACGGUCUUCGGAUUGUGAACCUCUUUCAGCAGGGAAGACAAAAGGACGGUACCUGCAGAAGAAGCCACGGCUAACUACGUGCCAGCAGCCGCGGUAAUACGUAGGUGGCAAGCGUUAUCCGGAAUUACUGGGUGUAAAGGGUGUGUAGGCGGGGCUGCAAGUCAGAUGUGAAAAUUAUGGGCUCAACCCAUAACCUGCGUCUGAAACUGUAGCUCUUGAGAGUGGGAGAGGUAAACGGAAUUCCCGGUGUAGCGGUGAAAUGCGUAGAUAUACGGAGGAACACCAGUGGCGAAGGCGGAUUGCUGGACAGUAACUGACGCUGAGGCGCGAAAGCGUGGGGAGCAAACAGGAUUAGAUACCCUAGUAG